CCCUUAGAUGUCCUGGGCCGCACGCGCGUUACACUGAUGCAUUCAACGAGCUUAUAACCUUGGCCGAGAGGCCUGGGCAAUCUUGUUAACGUGCAUCGUGAUAGGGAUAGAUUAUUGAAAUUAUUAAUCUUGAACGAGGAAUUCCUAGUAAACGCAGAUCAUCAAUCUGCAUUGAUUACGUCCCUGCCCUUUGUACACACCGCCCGUCGCUCCUACCGAUUGAGUGGUCCGGUGAGGCUUUGGGAUCUGGAUGGAAAGAGCGUUUCGCUGUUUCUGCCCGGAAAACUCAGUCGAACCUUAUCAUUUAGAGGAAGGAGAAGUCGUAACA
rnacentral:rRNA from 1 species